rnacentral:misc_RNA from 1 species
GCUAUGUGUAUCUGAUUUCUGUCAUUUCAAUAGGCAAGGAGAAAACAUCUAUUUUGUUCCCAAAAAGUACCAGAUAUUGCAAACAGAAAACGUGAAAUUGUAACAAUAAAGCCAAACCUUAUGGUAACAUGUGAAUUGCAUACCAUAAUAUCUUAAAAGCAAACUAAUGCCAGCAAAAGUCUGUUGAAUGACAAAUGAGUUAUUUUCCUUCUGCUGGUUCCCUCCAGCCAAGACCGUGUCUGCAUAUUUCUCCCAGCGGCUCUUCAUAGUUUCUAGCAUCAAGAAUAGUUGCUUCAAAGUCUGUUGAAUCACUUGCAACAGGAAGAAAGCUACUUAUAUCAUCUCUAGCUCCAAAGCCUCCAGCCCGUAUAACAUCAUCGGUUGUUAAGGAAGCCUCCAUAUUUAUCUUCCCAGAUUUGUCCUCAUCAGUAGGUACAUUUUGGGAAACUAUUUUCUCAUCCUUCCCCUCAACCUUGUUAAUGUGUUUCUUAACCCCAGGAGAACUAGGAACUGGUCUUGGAACAUCUUUUGCAUCAGCAUGAUUGGAUUUGGUUGCUUCGUUCAUUUUGCUGUUAUCAUCUGCAUCAUGUGAAACUUCAACUGACUCAUACUCCAUAAUGCAUGAAAAUCUUCCGCAAAUGUCUCUUUUCUAGGCAAUAAGACCCUCUAGAAUCUUCUGAGAUUCUGUGCUGGAAAAGACAAGGGCGAUGCCGAAGCGGUGCUACUUUAAAAAUUCGUUGUCUUGUUC